ACAGGAGUGUCUGAUUCCCCUCUGGAUCUCUCCAAGUCACCUUUGCAUCCGAGUAUCCUCUCUUAGUUGCCUCAUUUCCUUAGGACGUAAUUUUACUCUCCUUUUUAAUGGCUCUGGCAGACUUCAUAGUGCGCUCGUAUCCAUCCGUUGUUUCUCAGCUGGUAUUCCCUGUAGCAGUCUCAUCUGUCAUUGCCAGCAAGUUUGUUCUUUUCUGAUAAAGGUGGAGGUUGUUCCUUCACCAAAAAAUAAGAAGUGUUCUUGAUCCUAAAUUUAAACGUUCCCCUGUACAGCAGUACCUUGAAACUGAGUCACUCUCCCUCCAGUAACCUAGCUGAAGGCAUUUCAGAGGAGGCUAUAGGAAGCACUCUGAAUUUUAUAUUCCCAACAUUUCAGUGUGAAAUGCUUCAAGACUUUUCUGCAUUCUGCGUUUCCUUAGGCCAGUUAUACUACAGUCUCUCACUCUCUCCCAGUUUCUGCAAAGACCUGUCCACAUGCCUCAUAAUCAGAUCCAGGACUGAUGAGACCAGGCACGGUGUAAACAAGCUGUUCUGCUGCAAGCGUCUCUUCACGGCAGCUUGGCAAAUGUGGGACCUUCCUCAUCAGUGUUCCAGUGUAAAAGGGACAAGACAGUGCCACGCGUGUACCUUCAUCUUUUCUGCCUCACAGACAGCUGCCUUGUCAAGCAAGUACUGA
rnacentral:lncRNA from 1 species